UACAGAGGUCUCAAGCGUUGUUCGGAUUCAUUGGGCGUAAAGGGUGCGUAGGUGGCGGGGUAAGUCAGGUGUGAAAUUUCGGAGCUCAACUCCGAAACUGCAUUUGAUACUGCCUUGCUUGAGGACUGGAGAGGAGACUGGAAUUCACGGUGUAGCAGUGAAAUGCGUAGAUAUCGGGAGGAACACCUGAGGCGAAGGCGGGCUACUGGGCCGAUACUGACGCUGAUGCGCGAAAGCCAGGGGAGCAAACGGG
rnacentral:rRNA from 1 species